rfam:Populus trichocarpa scaffold_1_contig_233, whole genome shotgun sequence.
UCUAGAGCUCGAGAUAUGGGCUGAACACUGAAUAGUGUCAGGGUUGUAGGACAGAUUCCGACUUCUCUGUUGUUACUACCAUUUGAACUCGAAAAUGGCACUUUUAAAUCUUGGACUCCAUGAAAGUUUUAGGCAUGUGUCUUAUAUUUCCAUA